rnacentral:rRNA from 1 species
UACGUAGGGGGCGAGCGUUGUCCGGAGUUACUGGGCGUAAAGCGCUUGUAGGCGGUCCACCAAGUUUGGGGUGACAGUUGCCGACUUAAUCGGCAAAGUGCCUCAAAGACUGGCGGACUUGAGGGCCACAGAGGGACAUGGAACUCCAGGUGUAGUGGUGAAAUGCGUAGAUAUCUGGAAGAACACCAAAGGCGAAGGCAGUGUCCUGGAGGGUGACUGACGCUGAGGCGCGAAAGCUAGGGGAGCGAACAGG